rnacentral:rRNA from 1 species
CCUACGGGGGGCUGCAGUCGAGGAUCUUCGGCAAUGGGCGCAAGCCUGACCGAGCGACGCCGCGUGUGCGACGAAGGCCCUCGGGUUGUAAAGCACAAAGGUACCGAGGAAGGGCAACUUGACCGAGGUACAGUAAGCACGGGCUAAGUUCGUGCCAGCAGCCGCGGUAAGACGAACCGUGCGAACGUUGUUCGGAAUCACUGGGCUUAAAGGGCGCGUAGGCGGCCGGCCGCGUCCGGGGUGAAAGCCCCCAGCUUAACUGGGGAAGUGCCUCG